rnacentral:rRNA from 1 species
GACGAACGCUGGCGGCGUGCUUAACACAUGCAAGUCGAACGGAAAGGCCCUGCUUUUGUGGGGUGCUCGAGUGGCGAACGGGUGAGUAACACGUGAGUAACCUGCCCUUGACUUUGGGAUAACUUCAGGAAACUGGGGCUAAUACCGGAUAGGAGCUCCUGCUGCAUGGUGGGGGUUGGAAAGUUUCGGCGGUUGGGGAUGGACUCGCGGCUUAUCAGCUUGUUGGUGGGGUAGUGGCUUACCAAGGCUUUGACGGGUAGCCGGCCUGAGAGGGUGACCGGCCACAUUGGGACUGAAAUACGGCCCAGACUCCUACGGGAGGCAACAGGGGGGAAUAAUGCAAAAUGGGGGGGAGCCUGAUGCAGCAACGCCGGGUGGGGGAUGACGGGCUUCGGGUUGGAAACCGCUUUCGCCUGUGACGAAGCGUGAGUGACGGUAAUGGGUAAAGAAGCACCGGCUAACUACGUG